rnacentral:rRNA from 1 species
UACGAAGGGGGCUAGCGUUGUUCGGAAUUACUGGGCGUAAAGCGCACGUAGGCGGAUUUGUAAGUCAGGGGUGAAAUCCCGGGGCUCAACCUCGGAACUGCCUUUGAUACUGCAAGUCUUGAGACCGGAAGAGGUGAGUGGAAUGCCUAGUGUAGAGGUGCAAUUCGUAGAUAUUAGGAAGGACACCAGUGGCGAAGGCGGCUCACUGGUCCGGUUCUGACGCUGGGUUGCGAAAUCGAGGGGAGCAUACACG